rnacentral:rRNA from 1 species
AAAAUUGUUGCGGUUAAAACGUUCGAAGUUUAUUCUUGUCCAACACGGGUGCUACUCCUAAUGAUGGCAGUAGGUCACUGGAUUGUUGCGACUAUAAGACUGGGUGCGCCCGUCGGUCCUCGCGGCCGGCGCGGUCGUAGUGUGGCGCUGAUGCCUUUCAUCGGGUGCAGUGUUUUCCGCAAGCCCAGCUGCUAUUACCUUGAACAAAUUAGAGUGCUCUAAGCAGGCUAUCCUACGGCCGAGAAUAAUCUUGCAUGGAAUAAUGGAAUAUGACCUCGGUCUUAAUAUUCAUUGGUUUAAGAAAAAGCAAACCAUCAAUUGAACUUUAACACUCCACUCUUGCAAAACAAAAAAGAAAAUACUAAAAAUCACUAGUAAGGCGAGCAAAGGAGUUUAAAGGAUAUUUCCUCGCCUUACUAGUGAUGUUUAGUAUUUUUUUCUUUUGCAGGAGUGAAGCGAAGUGUUAAAGUUCAA